AAUGGUUGAGAAUAUGCGGAGAAUCGUUAUAAAAGCCGGUCCCAUGCCUUGCUUGCCAUUAUCUUGUUAAAAUAAAGAGCUCCGUCGAUGUUUGGAUUCGUUUCAUAUGGGUCCCAUCCAAAAGGACAAGGCUGAGAACUUGUAACAUUUGACGGACCAGCCAGGACCAUCCAUUUACGAUUUCAUGGUGGCUUGAUUCUUGAGGCCUUCAUGCGGAUUUGCUUUGCCCACCCCUUCGACCAAUCACAUUAGACUUCUGGUCAAACUUGAACAUCCAAUAGCUUCUCUCUGGAUGAUGGAAAACCAUUUUUGCUCACCGCCCAAUUACCCCACGCUGGCAUGCCCAAGUCAGCAUGAGGCGAACAGAGAUGGCAGACAGCUCAGCUAUCCAUGGAAAAGAAAUACGCCUGUUUCCAAACACCCAAAAAUAUCUGAAAAUUUUCCUUCAAGCGAAAGAGAACAAAAACCCAACAAAGGGGUAAGAAUCAAAUCUCAAGUUAUAAACAAAAUUUAAUAAUUUUUUCAACUUAACCGAAAAGGAUAGUACUUACCUCUAAGAGUUAGACAAAACCACUCCAAAGAGCUAAAAAGCACCAAGAGAUCAAAAGGAAAAACAAACCAGAAGAACAAUGAGAGUAAACAAAAGUAGGGUAAAAGGAAGGAAACCACCUCAAACUCAAAGAGCUUAAAAGAGAUCACCCUUGACGCCAAACCUAUUCACAGCCCGUUAUGUAAUCUUUGACAAAACAUCAGGUUUCAUUAAAGCAAAUUAGGAUCAAGGGCUCUACAGUUUAAACCUACCACAUAUGUGCAUGUCUAUGACAUUGUACAAAUUCACUUUCAACUCUGGUUCCAAUCAUAGAAACUGAAAGAAGCCAAUAAUCAACUUGUAGUAAUUUAUUUGACAUUUAUUGCAAAAAAUACUAGAUUUCUGACUUUAUCUAUUUAGAAGAACUAAACUACUUAGAGAAAUAGAAAAAGAGAAAAAAGAUACAUUUUCUCAGACGUAAAUAAAUAUCAAACAGCAAACAAAUACAUAAAGCGACUAAGAUCAGGCAUAAACAUCCAUAUAUCAAUGUAUCUCCGGUCUUUUGUGUAAAUAAAACUUAAUACUCCACUUCCUGCACCUCUCUAACAUCCCGUGAAGUACCCUGUAAUCAAGACAAUUCAAGCAAGCACUUAGCUUAAACAAGGAAAAAAAAUCACAAAAUCAAACAGAAAGAAUUUCUGAAAAUUAUAAGAUAAAUCAUAAAAAAGAAGUCACAGCAGAGGUACCCACACGUUACUCCCUGUACUCUUUUCUAAGGUUUUUAAAAAUCCACCUGUUCAGCUGUACAAAUAUCAUUUGAGCAUAUAACUGUCAAAAACUCCAUCAAUCGAACAUUAUCCAAGAAACCAAAUUGCAACUUUACCAGAUAUGUAGUCCCAUGCUAACAAGUCCAACCUGCAGCAACAAAGAACAUUUUGCUAAUAACCCCAAAAGUAAUACUUAACCAUGCAUAGUCUAAAAAAUUAAGGCAGUCUUAAAUGAUGAAGAAAGGGUUAUGUGUGUAACUACCAUCUGUAUUGGCCACUAUUUUGCUCUAGUCUUUGCAUAAAACUAACAAAGUAUGUCUACAAUUCCAGUCUUGAAGAAUACCAUUCUACCCUUCAUUGCCAUACCAAUGAAGGGUAAGCUACUUAACAUCUAAUUACUCUUAGAUUGUGUGACACAUCAUAUCUAGAAUUUAGACCUGCAAAUGUUUCAAUUUAGAAUUCUCUUAUUCGAAAAUAUAUAAGAUUUGUAGCUCCAAAUUUAAGAUAAAUAGGGAUUUAUUGUUUCCUUUUUCCAGCUAGAUAAUAUAGACUCAUCACUUGAAUUAAGGAAAAGGUUUUUGACUAGGUUGGAUUCAUUUGCAAUCCAAAAAAUUGGGCUCUUAAAGUGAAUACGACUAUUGAUGUUUCUUAGUGUGCUUUGUUUGACACUCUAGUCAAUGGGUAAAUGCUUUCCUAUUUCCACUGAAAGAAACGAAAAUCGGGUUCAAUGCUUAGGAUGAAAUUCAGUUAAUUAGAUGCAUGCAAUUCUUUAAAAAAAAAAUGUAUAGCCACACAAAUCAUGCUUAUUUUGUCUAUUUUGCUAGACUUUCAAAACAAAAAAAAAAGAAAGCAAACAUCAAAUAUUCAACUUUUAUUUUUUAAAUAAAUAAAAAUUUAAUGAUUCUCAAAGAUACAUGGGAAGAAGUUAAUGCUUAUUGCUCAUUACAUCAAAAAUUCUCAAACUUGUAUAUACUCAAACUCCUUUUUCUUCACCAUCCUUAGGCAAGCGGUCCUAAAUUAAACAAUGAAUUAAUGACUCUGAAAAAUAGACAGUAGACAAUUGUUAGGGAGCAUGGUGUCAAAAGGCUAAAAGCAAGGAGGAUUCAUGAUAGUAUAAUGGUUUUCAGAUUAAAGGUAAGAUAACAUAACAGCCAAUGCAAAUGCUAAAAUUCCACUCAUGUCGAGAUACGAUUUCAAUUUUUCUUUAUUUUCGGGUUAAAGAAAUAUUUCCUCGUCGUUUCAUUUCCAAGACUGAAGGCAGCAGGAAAUGUGAUAUCACCAAAUUGCGUUUCCUAAGAUUUCCCAGACACCAGAAAAAUUGAAAGUCCAAAAUUGCAUUGUGAUAUUCCUUAAAUUUCUAGGUAGCCAAACAGAUGCGCAAUGUUUAUAUAAAAGAAAAAAAAGGACGAACUCACCUGACUAGGAAACGGAGGCGGAGUCUGAGAGAGUGAGGAUUUUUCUUUAAAGUGUUUUACCAGGUUGACGAGAGAGAAGGGUGAAGUUUCUUUUGCUUUCCUUUCUCAAACCACAAAGGCUAGUCAGAGAGAAGGCGAUGAGGGAACUUCCCUUGGGAACAACUUUUUUUCCCCAACACAAACGACAAUGAGCUCUCGGGUUUUUUUGGUACAGGCGUUUCCAUGGAUAGCUGACGUGUCCUUUUUUGUUUGCCUCUCGCUGACGUGGACAAGCCAGGUUGGCGCGAAUGAGCGGGGUGAGUGCGCAAAUAACACCACCCCUUUUGUGAACCUUCUCCAGUUUUCUCUAUAAAACCAAACAAA
rnacentral:lncRNA from 1 species